CCGAGGGACCCGGUACUAACAAUAAUAAUUACUGCCCCGCGCCGAGGGACACGGUACUAAAAGUAAUAAAUACUGCCCCGCACCGAGGGACACGGUACUAAAAAUAAUAAAUACUGCACCGAGGGUCACGGUACUAAAAAUAAUAAAUACUGCCCCGCACCGAGGGACCCGGUACUAACAAUAAUAAAUACUGCACUGAGGGACACGGUACUAAAAUUAAUAAAUACUGCACCGCGCCGAGGGACCCGGUAGUAAAAAUAAUAAAUACUGCACCGCGGGACAGGGUACUAAAAAUAAUAAAUACUGCACCAAGGGUCACGGUACUAAAAAUAGUAAAUACUGCCCCGCGCCGAGGGACACGGUACUAAAAAUAAUAAAUACUGCACCGCGCCGAGGGACACUGUACUAAAAAUAAUAAAUACUGCCCCGCGCCGAGGGACACGGUACUAAAAAUAAUAAAUACUGCACCGAGGGACACGGUACU